rnacentral:rRNA from 1 species
GGUGAACGCUGGCGGCGUGCUUAAGACAUGCAAGUCGAACGCAGUCUUCGGACUGAGUGGCGCACGGGUGAGUAACACGUAACUGACCUACCCCCAAGUCGCGAAUAACCAGCCGAAAGGAUGGCUAAUACGUGAUGUGAUGAUCCGCUGUGGCGGAUCAUUAAAGACUUGAUCGCUUGGGGAUGGGGUUGCGUUCCAUCAGCUAGUUGGUAAGGUAAAGGCUUACCAAGGCAACGACGGAUAGCCGGCCUGAGAGGGUGGCCGGCCACAGGGGCACUGAGACACGGGUCCGACUCCUACGGGAGGCAGCAGUUAGGAAUCUUCCACAAUGGGCGCAAGCCUGAUGGAGCGACGCCGCGUGAGGGAUGAAGGUUCUCGGAUCGUAAACCUCUGAACCAACGACGAAAGACCCGACAAGGGAGAUGACGGUAGUUGGGUAAUAGCACCGGCUAACUCCGUGCCAGCCGCCGCGGUAAGAC